UACAGAGGGGGCAAGCGUUGUUCGGAAUUACUGGGCGUAAAGGGCGCGUAGGCGGCCUGCUAAGUCGAACGUGAAAUCCCUGGGCUCAACCCAGGAACUGCGUCCGAUACUGGUUGGCUUGAAUCCGGGAGAGGGACGUGGAAUUCCAGGUGUAGCGGUGAAAUGCGUAGAUAUCUGGAGGAACACCGGUGGCGAAGGCGGCACCCUGGACCAUUACUGACACUGAAAAGCGAAAGCCAGGGGAGCAAACGGG
rnacentral:rRNA from 1 species